GGGGUUGUGGCUCAGCGGCAGAGCACUUGCCUAGCACAUGCAAGGCCCUGGGUUCGAUCCUCAGCACCACA
rnacentral:tRNA from 1 species